GAUGAACGCUGGCGGCGUGCCUAAUACAUGCAAGUCGAGCGAAUGGAUUAAGAGCUUGCUCUUAUGAAGUUAGCGGCGGACGGGUGAGUAACACGUGGGUAACCUGCCCAUAAGACUGGGAUAACUCCGGGAAACCGGGGCUAAUACCGGAUAACAUUUUGAACCGCAUGGUUCGAAAUUGAAAGGCGGCUUCGGCUGUCACUUAUGGAUGGACCCGCGUCGCAUUAGCUAGUUGGUGAGGUAACGGCUCACCAAGGCAACGAUGCGUAGCCGACCUGAGAGGGUGAUCGGCCACACGGGGACUGGAACACGGCCCAGACGCCUACGGGAGGCAGCAGUAGGGAAUCUUCCGCAAUGGACGAAAGUCUGACGGAGCAACGCCGCGUGAGUGAUGAAGGCUUUCGGGUCGUAAAACUCUGUUGUUAGGGAAGAACAAGUGCUAGUUGAAUAAGCUGGCACCUUGACGGUACCUAACCAGAAAGCCACGGCUAACUACGUGCCAGCCGCCGCCGUAA
rnacentral:rRNA from 1 species